UUAGCUCUCAAAUGCUGAGGCUGCAGUUGUCUCAAGCCUUGUCUUGGGCUGAAGGCUCUACUUUCCAACUUAGUCAUAGGGCUGUUGGCAGAUCUCAUUUCUUUAUGGGCUAUUGGACCAAGAGUCUUGGUGUCUUUUUCACUUCUAAGCUCACUCAUGGGGAGAAGGGAAGGGAGGAAUCUCCAGAAUGCCCAAGAUGGGAGCCACAGUCUUAUUAAAAAUCUAUUAUCAGAAAUGACAUACCAUUACUUCUGCCGGUGCUAUUGGUUACACAGACCAACUAGGGUGUGAAAAUACCAGGAAGUGAGUCAUCUGUGAGUUUGGUUACUACAGAUGGCUACUGAGCAGUCACACCCUCUCCCAUGGGAAAAAUACUAAAUUUCAUAGACUACAUUUUAUUUUUCCAUUUAAAAUGAAAAUAGAUUCAAGACCCAUAGAAUUUUUUAAAUUGAAAUGUAAUUGAGAGCACCAUAGAUUUUAGAUGACUAUUUUAAUAAGAAUUUCAGUGAGGGAAUUACUACUAUUAGCUUCUAAAAUAAUAUUUGGGCACAUACAAGAAUUAGCACCCUAAAAGUAGCUUUCUAAUCUUUAAUCCUUUGCAGUGUUCACAAAAUGGGUUCAUACUAUCACAUCCUCAGAACAACCCAUCCACAGUUUAUGUGCAGAGAAAUAGGAUUAGUGAGGUAAAGUGAUACACCACAACGGCCAUGCGAGGAGAAGCAGCAGAGCGGAUUUGAAGGAGUUCAUUUCAUUUGCGUAACAUUUACUGGAUAUCUGUCAUGUGCCAUGUGCUAUGCUAGGCAUUGGGCACAUUGAGAUGAGCAAUCUAUUUCCUUUCCAGCAUGGAUCCCUCUCUUCCGGGACUAUAGGAUCUCCUUUCUGCCUGGGCUAGGCAGAGGAGGAUCUGUACAACGCUUGAGUAAUUUCAGUUCUACCAGUUGGCCUGAAGAUCUAGCUGCCUUCUCAUGAUUCCUGGGAUCUGGAAGCCUGAGACUGAGAUCUGGCCCACUCCUGACAAGAGAGUGACACCUUUGUCCCGAAGGCUGGCUCUACCCUGCAAAAUACACAGGCUUCUCUCCUCUGAAGUAGUUUCUCUUAACAUGGCACCACUCCAUCUCUCUACUUUGUUCAUCACUCUAGAUGAAGAUCCUUAACUUUGUCAGUACUAAUGUUUUGGGCCAGAUAAUUCUCUGUUGUAAGGGCUGUCCCGUGCAUUGUAGGGUGUUUAGCAGCAUCCCUGGCCUCUACCCAGUAGAUGCCAGAGGACAUCAACUCCCCUUUCCUCCCUUUAAGUCCAAACAAACAAACAAACAAACAAACAAA